GCGGACGGCUCAGUAACACGUAGUCAACCUAACUCGUGGACGUGGAUAACCUCGGGAAACUGAGAAUAAACCACGAUAGAUCAUAGUGCCUGGAAUGGCUUAUGGUCCAAACAGUUUACUGCCAUGGGAUGGGACUGCAGCCUAUCAGCUUGUUGGUGAGGUAAUGGCCCACCAAGGCGAUUACAGGUACGGGCUCUGAGAGGAGAAGCCCGGAGAUGGGUACUGAGACACGGACCCAGGCCCUAUGGGGCGCAGCAGGCGAGAAACCUUAGCAAUGUGCGAAAGCACGACUGGGUCAGUCCGAGUGAUUCCUGAUAAAGGAGUCUUUUGCUUGUCCUAAAAGCACAGGUGAAUAAGGGGUGGGCAAGUCUGGUGUCAGCCGCCGCGGUAAUACCAGCACCUCGAGUGGUCAGGACGUUUAUUGGGCCUAAAGCAUCCGUAGCCGGCUUUGCAAGUCUUCGGUUAAAUCCACCUGCUCAACAGAUGGGCCGCUGGAGAUACUACAGAGCUAGGGAGUGGGAGAGGCAGACGGUAUUCAGUGGGUAGGGGUAAAAUCCUCUGAUCCAUUGAGGACCACCAGUGGCGAAGGCGGUCUGCCAGAACACGUUCGACGGUGAGGGAUGAAAGCUGGGGGAGCAAACCGGAUUAGAUACCCGGGUAGUCCCAGCUGUAAACGAUGCAAACUCGGUGAUGCAUUGGCUUAUGGCCA
rnacentral:rRNA from 1 species